AGGAUGAACGCUGGCGGCGUGCCUAAAACAUGCAAGUCAUACGGGCUACCUUCGGGUAGCCAGUGGCAAACGGGUGAGUAACACGUGGGAACGCGCCUUGGGGUGGGGAAUAACGCUGAGAAAUCAGUGCUAAUACCGCAUAUGGUCUAACGACUAAAGCAGCAAUGCGCCCCGAGAGCGGCCCGCGACCGAUUAGCUAGUUGGUGGGGUAAUGGCCUACCAAGGCGGUGAUCGGUAGCUGGUCUGAGAGGAUGGUCAGCCACACUGGGACUGCGAACGGCCCAGACUCCUACGGGAGGCAGCAGUUAGAAUUUUCGGCAAUGGACGAAAGUCUGACCGAGCGACGCCGCGUGGAGGAUGACGCCUUUCGGGGUGUAAACUCCUUUUCUGCGGGAAGAUAAUGACGGUACCGCAGGAAUAAGCACCGGCUAACUACGCGCCAGCAGCCGC
rnacentral:rRNA from 1 species